GUUACCUUCGGGUAAUGAGGAUGGCGGACGGGUGAGUAACGCGUAAGGAACUUGCCUCUUGGACUGGGACAACUGUUGGAAACGACAGCUAAUACCGGAUAUUAUGAGAUUCUCGAAUGAGAAACUUAUGAAAGCUAUAUGCGCCAAGAGAGAGCCUUGCGUUCCAUUAGCUAGUUGGUGGGGUAACGGCCCACCAAGGCGACGAUGGAUAGCCGGCCUGAGAGGGUGAACGGCCACAAGGGGACUGAGACACGGCCCUUACUCCUACGGGAGGCAGCAGUGGGGAAUAUUGGACAAUGGGCCACAAGCCUGAUCCAGCAAUUCUGUGUGCACGAUGAAGGUCUUCGGAUUGUAAAGUGCUUUCAGUUGGGAAGAAGAAAGUGACGGUACCAACAGAAGAAGCGACGGCUAAAUACGUGCCAGCAGCCGCGGUAAUACGUAUGUCGCAAGCGUUAUCCGGAUUUAUUGGGCGUAAAGCGCGUCUAGGCGGAAAAAUAAGUCUGAUGUUAAAAUGCGGGGCUCAACUCCGUAUUGCGUUGGAAACUGUUUUCUAGAGUACUGGAGAGGUGGGCGGAACUACAAGUGUAGAGGUGAAAUUCGUAGAUAUUUGUAGGAAUGCCGAUGGAGAAGUCAGCUCACUGGACAGAUACUGACGCUGAAGCGCGAAAGCGUGGGGAGCAAACA
rnacentral:rRNA from 1 species